rnacentral:lncRNA from 1 species
CCUCUCCUGCCAGUUCCUAUUACGCUCCACUUCUUUUUUCUUCUCUUCUUUCCGUGCCCAGUUUUUUUUCCUUCUGUUUCUCUGAUAACAACGGCGUCGCUUCUACUGGAUAUGGCAGGGAAGCUGAUGCAUGCCGUUCAGUAUAGCACCUAUGGAGGAGGCGCCGCUGGUUUAAAGGUUAAUUGUUUUUUUAACCAAAUCUUGUUAGCGUAAUUAUAUGUCCCUUUUCUUUUCUUUGAUCACCAUUUAGUUAGUUAGUAAUUGUUGAAACAUGGAGAUGAAUUAUAGAUUGUUGCCCCCAUUUCUUUUUGUUUCUAAAUUAAAUAAUAAUAAUGAUGGUGGUGGCGGAGGAGGAGAAGGAUUGGAUGUGAUGUGAGUUUUGCUUUAAUUUUUGAUAAAAUAGUUAAAUAAUGAAGGUGUUUGAAAGUGUGAAAUGGUUAUUUUUAAAAUAUUUCUUUUAAAAAUAUGUUAAAAUUAUUUUUUUUAAAAUUAUUUUUAAUAUCAAUUUAUUAAAAUAAUCUACAAAUAUAAAACAAUAAUUUUAAAUAUAAUUUUUUUUAAUCAAUUUGAACCGCAAUCCGAAACAGGCACGAAAAAGAGGCAUUGAUGCACCUACUGUGAGUUAUUGCUAUUAUAUAAAUAGUUUUGCUUGUUGCAGCAUGUUGAGGUUCCAGUCCCUAGUGCCAAGGGAGACGAGGUUUUGCUCAAGUUAGAAGCAACUAGUCUAAACCCAGUCGACUGGAAGAUGCAGAAAGGGAUGCUGCGCCCCCUACUCCCUCGGAGAUUCCCUUACAUACCCGGUGAUUCACUUCUUUCUUUAUGUGGACUUUGAUUUUUAUAUGUAAUCUGACUCAGACACUAUCUUACUGCUUGUUAAGGCUUUUGAUUGCACAUAAAUUCCGCCAUAUAGCCUAAUCCACAGGGAAAUUGUUCUUUGUAAUGUUAGUUGAUUGCAUGAUUUUCUUCUUUUAGGUGCUUAAUCAUUAUUUUGAUUUGGAUUUAAGUUUGUAACGGUGUGGUGUUGCAUCUAAGAAACUUUGGAAACGGGUUUGGUGUUACUGUGGACCAUCUCAAUAGAAUCGUUUCCAUAUAAAUAUUAAAUAUUAGUUGUCAAUAUUUAAUAUUAAAUAUUAGUUGCCAAUUUGAUACUUUUAUGUUCCUUUGUUUAGCUUUCAGAAUGCGGAACUUGGAAACUGGCAUACCUUUGUCAUUUUUUUUAUGGUAUAUGACAAUGCAAAAGCAAUAAUCUUUACUUACCAUUUCAAACGUUUGACUUCAGUUCAGUGGUGUCAAAGUUUUGGGAAUUCGUGUUGGGGUGCUGUUUGGCAGGAGGUUUCCUUUCCAUGGUUACUCUGUCAGUUCCAGUGGCUUGUGGGUUCUUUACUUGGUCUCGUUUAAGCAAUGUAAAAGCUUAAAAAGAGGGUUCCUUGUUAAGAUUAGAUGGUUGUUGCAGUCACUGCUCUAGGACUUGCACCAUACUCUCUGUUCAAUGAACUGCCCCAUAUGUCAACAAAGAUCUACAAUUUUUAAAACAAGAUACAAAUGGAGAAACAACUGAUCUAAACUUUAUUUCCAGCACCCUUCUGAAAGAUAGCUUGUAAUCCAUGUGGUUAACAUUCUUUCAAUCUCAUGCUGAUAUAUUAAUUUCAUAGUUUUAGCAAUACUGUGUGUUUGCCAAGCACGCAUUCACACACACACACACAGCAUUCACUUUUUGGCUGAAGAAACCUUUGUCGCAACAGGCACUGAUGUGGCAGGAGAGGUUGUAGAGGUUGGACCAGGAGUAACAAAUUUCAAAACUGGUGACAAAGUUGUAGCUAUUCUAAGCCACCUUGUAAGUGCUCAUUCAAUAUUUUGGUGUUCUUUAUUUCCUUAUCUUCGUAAUAUUUCAAAUGAUUUACAUUGGUGAGGCGACCUCUAGAUUAUCUUUUUUUGGUUUAAUGGCUAUGUACACAAUUGGGGUCAACCUUACCCUCACUUGCGCCUUAAAUAAUGUCAUAUCAAAUAAGCCAGCUUGCAUCAACACGGCCUGAAGGUUACACGACAUGGAUGACUGGUUAUAAGCUAAAAAAUCAACAUGAAAGGGGGAUGGGGGUGAUUUGAAGAGUGAGAUAAUAAAAUUGUCGCGUUCAUCAUAUUAGAUAAAGCACAAGAAGAAAAUUGUUUUCAGGUAUUGACAGAGGUAUGAUUCAAUAACAAGUGCGAAUAAUUUAUAGCUAAAUCUGUCUAUUGUGUGAACAGCCAACCUUCAUGCCCUCAAUAUCUUUCAUGAAAGUGAACGGUGAAAUACAACUUUCAUCAAGGACUACUUGUUGUUUCUCUUCUCCAUAGGCAACUUAGUUUCCUCCCCUAAAAAGUAAAAUCAGAUAACUCUGUUUUGGACAUUUGCUCAGCUUCAAUGAAACACAAAAGCGAUACCUUAAUGUCGUCAUUGUAGCUACCUUUUUUGGAAAGAAAACAGAUCAAAGCCCUUGAUGCUUAUGAAUUUUUUUUACUAGUUUGUAGUAUUGCCAACUUGAGGCGCAUUAUAGAGGUUAGUUUGCUUAGAUGCCUUGCUCAUGGAUCUUGUAUACCAUUAAGUGUUACAUAGGAGUUUGGACCUGGGACUUGGCACAUGCUAUCUACUUAGUUGUACACAUAUGAAAAGUGCAUUUUAGCAUUUGGCAAUCUUAUGUGUAUGGAGGAAUUUUACCAUUGGUCUCUGAAUUUUGUUUCGUUCUGUUUCUUUGAUUAAUUGUUGUGUGCUCUAAAAACAACAGAGUGGAGGUGGACUAGCUGAAUUUGUAGUGGCUAAGAAGGGCUUGCCAGUUGCAAGGCCACCUGAAGUUUCAGCAGCUGAAGGUGCAGGCUUGCCUGUUGCUGGGCUCACAGCUCACCAGGCUGUCACUCAAUCUGCUGGGGUCAAGCUUGAUGGAAGUGGUAACCAGAAAAAUAUUCUGAUCACUGCUGCCUCAGGUGGUGUAGGUCACUAUGCAGUUCAGCUUGCAAAGCUUGGAAACACUCAUGUGACUGCCACUUGUGGGGCUCGUAACAUCGAAUUUGUGAAGAGCUUAGGUGCUGAUGAGGUUCUGGAUUACAAAACCCCAGAAGGAGCAGCUCUGAAGAGCCCAUCUGGUAAGAAAUAUGAUGCUGUGAUCCACUGCGCUGCUGGCGUUCCUUGGAGCACUUUUGAGCCAAAUCUGAGUGCAAAUGGGAAGGUUAUAGAUAUCACUCCUGGCCCCAGUGCCUUCAUGACUUUUGCUUUUAAGAAACUUACCUUCUCCAAGAAGCAGCUGGUGCCGCUGCUUUUGAUUCCCAAUGGUGAGAACCUGAAUUAUCUUGUUAAUCUGGUAAAGGAAGGGAAGCUUAAAACAGUCAUCGACUCAAAGCAUCCAUUAAGCAGGGCUGAAGAUGCUUGGGCAAAGAGUAUCGACAGUCAUGCUACUGGGAAGAUCAUUGUGGAGCCGUGAAUGAAAAUAAUGUGCUUGAAUUGCUAAAAUUUCUGCAACUGUGAGGUCUUUCCUGUACAAUGUGGAUCCGAUGGCAUACACAGCUGAUGAGGCAUUGUAUGAUGCGUGAUCUUGCACACCAAUUUCUUUUGACUGGAUGUUUCCCUAAAUGAUAGGGUUUGGGUUGAGUUUAUUAACUAUUGAUUAUGUUUGUUCUUCAAUAUCAGAUGCUUUUUUUUUCAUUUUGGUGUUAUUUUAUUUAAUGACGUGAGACUCACCCAUAUGGGCCAAUUCUAGGUAUAUUUUGUCGUCUAGAGAAUUGAUGUCCUAUGUUGCAGGGGACAUUUCCACUAACUAUAACUAUGAAAAGCUAAAUACGACAAAAAGGUGAUCACUUAGGUUUUUUUUUUAUUUUUUAUUUGGAGACCUGAUGAUGAGAGAGAAAGCCUGAAGAGAUUUUUGAGAGAGAAUUGGGCUAACGGAGCUAUAACUCCGCCACCCACUGUUGUUAAGAGAAAUCAUUGUUGGUAUUUUACUGGAAAAACUGAUUUCGAGGCAGCCAUAUUCGUCAGGUUGGUGCUCCUCCAGUCACCGUUAGAUCUGUACCAUAUUGCUUAGAGAGGUUCACUUGGGUAUCCUUUUUGUUCUUAACGGUGGAGAUCAGAUUUGCACAACUUUGGAAUUGGAUGACCAAACCAUUGAUGCCAAACUCCAUGGCAAAGUUUAUGAUAAAUAACACUUGAGAACUAUAGUUAGAGGGUUGGUAUUGAAGUAGGUACAAACCAUUUUUAAUUGUUCUGGAUAUAAGAAUAACUUUAAAAAAUAAGAUGAAAGUGAUUAUGAAAUUUAAAGAAAACAUUAUUAUCUAAAGCAAAUUAUCUUAUAGAAAAAAUGAAUUUCAUGAUUAGAGUCAUGUGAGGUUAAAUUAUUAUUAUUAUUAUUAUUUUGUUUAAAAAAAAUGGUAUAAAUUGUGUUCACAGCAAACAAAACAGGCAUAAAUUCCUUGGGGGCAUAGUUUGAAUAUAAGCUAAGUCUAACAGAGCUAAACCAAUAUGCUUCGAUAAACCUAAAUGAGAUUGACUAGACUUGUUUAAAGGGAAAGCUAUUUAAUUAAAAUGAUAAUUACCCGAGGAAAAAUCAGAAGAGCCUUAUUAGAGAGAAUUUAAUGCAAGAUAGGAGAAUAUGGAUGACCAAACCAUUGAUGCCAAACUCCAUGACAAAGUUUAUGAUAGAUAACACUUGAGGACCAUAGUUAGAGGGUUGGUAUUGAAGUAGGUACAAACCAUUUUUAAUUGUUCUGAACAUAAGAAUAACUUUAAAAAAUAAAAUGAAAGUGAUUAUGAAAUUUAAAGAAAACAUUAUUAUCUAAAGCAAAUUACCUUAUAGAAAAAAUAAAUUUCAUGAUUAGAGUCAUGUGAGGUUAAAUUAUUAUUAUUAUUAUUUUGUUUAAAAAAAAUGGUAUAAAUUGUGUUCACAACAAACAAAACAGGCAUAAAUUCCUAGGGGGCAUAGGUUGAAUAUAAGCUAAGUCUAACAGAGCUAAACCAAUAUGCUUCGAUAAACCUAAAUGAGAUUGACUAGACUUGUUUAAAGGGAAAACUAUUUAAUUAAAAUGAUAAUUACCCGAGGAAAAAUCAGAAGAGCCUUAUUAGAGAGAAUUUAAUGCAAGAUAUGAGAAUAUGGAUGACCAAACCAUUGAUGCCAAACUUCAUGAUAAAGUUUAUGAUAGAUAACACUUGAGGACCAUAGUUAGAGGGUUGGUAUUGAAGUAGGUACAAACCAUUUUUAAUUGUUCUGAACAUAAGAAUAACUUUAAAAAAUAAAAUAAAAGUGAUUAUGAAAUUUAAAGAAAACAUUAUUAUCUGAAGCAAAUUACCUUAUAGAAAAAAUGAAUUUCAUGAUUAGAGUCAUGUGAGGUUAAAUUAUUAUUAUUAUUAUUAUUAUUUUGUUUAAAAAAAAUGGUAUAAAUUGUGUUCACAACAAACAAAACAGGCAUAAAUUUCUAGGGGGGAUAGUUUGAAUAUAAGCUAAGUCUAACAGAGCUAAACCAAUAUGCUUCGAUAAACCUAAAUGAGAUUGACUAGACUUGUUUAAAGGGAAAGCUAUUUAAUUAAAAUGAUAAUUACUCGAGAAAAAAUCAGAAUAGCCUUAUUAGAGAGAAUUUAAUGCAAUAUACGAGAAUAUGGAUGACUAAACCAUUGAUGCCAAACUCCAUGACAAAGUUUAUGAUAAAUAACACUUGAGGACUAUAGUUAGAGGGUUGGUAUUGAAGUAGGUACAAACUAUUUUUAAUUGUUCUAGAUAUAAGAAUAACUUUAAAAAAUAAGAUGAAAGUAAUUAUGAAAUUUAAAGAAAAUAUUAUUAUCUAAAGCAAAUUAUUUUAUAGAAAAAAAAAAUUUCAUGAUUAGAGUCAUGUGAGGUUAAAUUAUUAUUAUUAUUAUUAUUAUUUUGUUUAAAAAAAAUGGUAUAAAUUGUGUUCACAACAAACAAAACAGACAAAAAUUCCUAGGGGGCAUAGUUUGAAUAUAAGCUAAGUCUAACAGAGCUAAACCAAUAUGCUUCGAUAAACCUAAAUGAGAUUGACUAGACUUGUUUAAAGGGAAAACUAUUUAAUUAAAAUGAUAAUUACCCGAGGAAAAAUCAGAAGAGCCUUAUUAGAGAGAAUUUAAUGCAAGAUAUGAGAAUAUGGAUGACCAAACCAUUGAUGCCAAACUCCAUGACAAAGUUUAUGAUAGAUAACACUUGAGGACCAUAGUUAGAGGGUUGAUAUUGAAGUAGGUACAAACCAUUUUUAAUUGUUCUGGACAUAAGAAUAACUUUAAAAAAUAAAAUGAAAGUGAUUAUGAAAUUUAAAGAAAAUAUUAUUAUUUUAAAAAAUUAUCUUAUAAAAAAAAUGAAUUUCAUGAUUAGAGGCAUGUGAAGUUAAAUUAUUAUUAUUAUUAUUAUUAUUAUCUUUAAAAAAAAUGAUAUAAAUUAUGUUCACAGUAAAUAAGCAAAUAAAACAGACAUAAAUUUUUAGGGGGAUUGUUAUAACCGACUUGUAUUUUGUCCUUUCCAUUAAUACAAAAAAAAAAGAUACCAAAAGUUUGUCGUUUCCCGUUAGGCAGACAUGUGGAACACAGUACGCCUUUCUUAUAUCUCUUUUAAGUUUAACCGUUAAAGCCACCACCUCCUCUCCUGCCAGUUCCUAUUACGCUCCACCUCUUUUUUCUUCUCUUCUUUCCGUGCCCAGUUUUUUUUCCUUCUGUUUCUCUGAUAACAGCGGCGUCGCUUCUACUGGAUAUGGCGGGGAAGCUGAUGCAUGCCGUUCAGUAUAGCACCUAUGGAGGAGGCGCCGCUGGUUUAAAGGUUAAUUGUUUUUUUAACCAAAUUUUGGUAGCGUAAUUAUAUGUCCCUUUUCUUUUCUUUGAUCACCAUUUAGUUAGUUAGUAAUUGUUGAAACAUGGAGAUGAAUUAUAGAUUGUUGCCCCCAUUUCUUUUUGUUUCUAAAUUAAAUAAUAAUAAUGGUGGUGGUGGUGGUGGAGGAGGAGAAGGAUUAGAUGUAAUGUGAGUUUUGCUUUAAUUUUUGAUAAAAUAGUUAAAUAAUAAAGGUGUUUGAAAGUGUGAAAUUGUUAUUUUUAAAAUAUUUCUUUUAAAAAUAUGUUAAAAUAAUUUUUUUUAAUAUCAAAUUAUUAAAAUAAUAAAAUAUAAAACAAUAUAUAUAUAUAUAUUAAAUCAAUUUGAACCGCAAUCCGAAACACGCACGAAAAAGAGGCAUUGAUGCACCUACUGUGAGUUACUG